UAAGAAAUAAAUGAAUGAAACAGAGACUGUCUCGGGACUGUCCGAACAGCAUUCGAACUCGAUUUUCUUGGAGCGGUACGUUUUUCUGGGUACGUGUCGAUGUCAUGCGGAUAGCACAGGGCAGGGACUCGGGGGUAAAGGUUAUUUUUUUAUUACCUGGAUAAUAAUCAUAAUGAAAGAACGAGGAAGCCGUGUUGGGUCCUCGCUGAAAUGAAGGCGACUCACGCAGCAGUUUGGAGUUUCGCUCGCUUUGUGUUUAUUCAUGGUUCACAUGCUGCAGCUGAUGAUGGCCUGUCACUAUAUGAAAACAUCCCACCCACAGUUGCACAGAAAACAGGUAAAAUCAGAAAACAAAGAAAUGCCAAACCAGAAGUCUUCACAGAUUUGGAGUUCUCGGAUGAGUCUCUCUACACCUCCUGAACCGAAUGGCUAGAAUACCAAAACAAGCCGAGAGCUGCAUGUGAUUGAGAUCGACAAGCCAAGCAUACUGUAAUACCUGUAGAGAC